GGGAGCGCAGGCUGCCAGAUAAGUCAGAUGUGAAAGCCCGGGGCUCAACCCCGGAAGUGCAUUUGAAACUGUUUGGCUUGAGUAUGGUAGAGGGAAGUGGAAUUCCAGGUGUAGCGGUGAAAUGCGUAGAUAUCUGGAGGAACACCGGUGGCGAAGGCGACUUCCUGGACCAAUACUGACGCUGAGGCUCGAAGGUGUGGGUAGCAAACAGGAUUAGAUACCCUGGUAGUCCACACAGUAAACGGUGAUCACUAGGUGUUGCGGGUAUUGACCCCUGCAGUGCCGCAGCUAACGCAUUAAGUGAUCCGCCUGGGGAGUACGGUCGCAAGAUUAAAACUCAAAGGAAUUGACGGGGGCCCGCACAAGCGGUGGAGCAUGUGGUUUAAUUCGACGCAACGCGAAGAACCUUACCUGGACUUGACAUCCCGAGAAUGUUUAUGAAAAUAGACAGUGCACUUCGGUGAAUUCGGUGACAGGUGCUGCAUGGCUGUCCUCAGCUCGU
rnacentral:rRNA from 1 species